CCUGGGUGCACCACACUGCGGGAGCCUCCAAGUGUUCACCUAUCCAGAAGCUCCUCUGAAGGCUCUCCUUUUGGGUUGUUAUGGAGCCUUCAUUACAUAUGCAUGAUUGCUUAUAUUACUGGUCAUUGGUUACACUUUUAGAUAGGCUAAGUGGGUUUUUUGUUUGUUUGUUUGUUUUUGGUGAGACGAAGUCUCACUCUGUCACCCAGGCUGGAGUGCAAUGGCGCGAUCUCGGCUCAUUGCAACCUCCGCCUCCCGGGUUCAGGCCCCGCCCCUGCCCCGCCCAUCCUAUGCUCUCAGUCACUCCCGGCCUUUCCGCCCGCAACCCGCCCCUUUGCCCCGGUCCGCCCAGGCCCCGCCCCCAGCCGCCGGCGCCGUUUACUGCGCGGGCAGUUUCUUGCAAACCCGGAAGCAGAUCUCUUGGAGUGAAGGCUGUUCCUCGCCGCGAGUUUCUUAGCCCUGCAUCUUUUCUGGUGCAGUGGGCGGCAGAGGAUCAUCUUUCCACAGGGUAG
rnacentral:lncRNA from 1 species